rnacentral:tRNA from 1 species
GUCCAGAUGGCGGAAUUGGUAGACGCGCACGCUUGAGGGGCGUGUGAGCAUUAUGCUCGUGCGGGUUCAACUCCCGCUCUGGGCACCA